AUACGGAGGGAGCGAGCGUUAAUCGGAAUUACUGGGCGUAAAGCGCGCGUAGGCGGCUUUUUAAGUCGGAUGUGAAAGCCCUGGGCUCAACCUGGGAAUGGCAUUCGAAACUGCAGAGCUAGAGUAUGGUAGAGGGAAGUGGAAUUUCCGGUGUAGCGGUGAAAUGCGUAGAUAUCGGAAGGAACACCAGUGGCGAAGGCGACUUCCUGGGCCAAUACUGACGCUGAGGUGCGAAAGCGUGGGGAGCAAACAGGAUUAGAAACCCCAGUAGUCC
rnacentral:rRNA from 1 species